rfam:Mesocricetus auratus contig084170, whole genome shotgun sequence.
GGUGAGGUGGCUUAGAGGUUAAAAGCACUGGGUGCUCUUCCAGAGGUCCUGAGUUCAACUCCCAGCAAUCACCC